AGUGAACGCUGGCGGUAGGCCUAACACAUGCGAGUCGAACGGCAGCACAGUAAGAGCUUGCUCUUACGGGUGGCGAGUGGCGGACGGGUGAGGAAUACAUCGGAAUCUACUUUUUCGUGGGGGAUAACGUAGGGAAACUUACGCUAAUACCGCAUACGACCUACGGGUGAAAGCAGGGGAUCUUCGGACCUUGCGCGAUUGAAUGAGCCGAUGUCGGAUUAGCUAGUUGGCGGGGUAAAGGCCCACCAAGGCGACGAUCCGUAGCUGGUCUGAGAGGAUGAUCGGCCACACUGGAACUGAGAAACGGUCCAGACUCCUACGGGAGGCAGCAGUGGGGAAUAUUGGACAAUGGGCGCAAGCCUGAUCCAGCCAUACCGCGUGGGUGAAGAAGGCCUUCGGGUUGUAAAGCCCUUUUGUUGGAAAGAAAAGCAGCAGGUUAAUACCCCGCUGUUCUGACGGUACCCAAAUAAUAAGCACCGGCUAACUUCGUG
rnacentral:rRNA from 1 species